GUCUACGGCCAUGCCACCCUGAACAAGCUCAAUCCCAUCUGAUCUCGGAAGCUAAGCAGGGUCACGCCUGGUUAGUAUUUAGAUGGGAGACCACUUAGGAAGACCAGGUGCUGUCGGUG
rnacentral:rRNA from 1 species